rnacentral:rRNA from 1 species
CAUACAAUAAGCGGAGGAAAAGAAACUAACAAGGAUUCCCCUAGUAACUGCGAGUGAAGCGGGAAAAGCUCAAAUUUAAAAUCUGGCAGCCUUUGGUUGUCCGAGUUGUAAUCUAGAGAAGCGUUAUCCGCGCUGGACCGUGUACAAGUCUCCUGGAAUGGAGCGUCAUAGAGGGUGAGAAUCCCGUCUUUGACACGGACUGCCAGGGCUUUUGUGAUACGCUCUCAAAGAGUCGAGUUGUUUGGGAAUGCAGCUCAAAAUGGGUGGUAAAUUCCAUCUAAAGCUAAAUAUUGGCGAGAGACCGAUAGCGAACAAGUACCGUGAGGGAAAGAUGAAAAGAACUUUGGAAAGAGAGUUAAACAGUACGUGAAAUUGCUGAAAGGGAAACGCUUGAAGUCAGUCGCGUUGUCCAGGGAUCAACCUUGCUUUUGCUUGGUGCACUUUCUGGUUGACGGGUCAGCAUCAAUUUUGACUAUUGGAAAAAGAUUAGGGGAAUGUGACAUCUUCGGAUGUGUUAUAGCCCUUAGUUGCAUACAAUGGUUGGGAUUGAGGAACUCAGCACGCCGCAAGGCCGGGUUUUUAACCACGUACGUGCUUAGGAUGCUGGCAUAAUGGCUUUAAUCGACCCGUCUUGAAACACGGACCAAGGAGUCUAACAUGCCUGCGAGUGUUUGGGUGGAAAACCCGAGCGCGUAAUGAAAGUGAAAGUUGAGAUCCCUGUCGUGGGGAGCAUCGACGCCCGGACCAGACCUUUUGUGACGGUUCCGCGGUAGAGCAUGUAUGUUGGGACCCGAAAGAUGGUGAACUAUGCCUGAAUAGGGUGAAGCCAGAGGAAACUCUGGUGGAGGCUCGUAGCGAUUCUGACGUGCAAAUCGAUCGUCAAAUUUGGGUAUAGGGGCGAAAGACUAAUCGAACCAUCUAGUAGCUGG